UACAGAGGAUGCAAGCGUUAUCCGGAAUGAUUGGGCGUAAAGCGUCUGUAGGUGCUUUUUAAGUCCGCCGUCAAAUUCCCAGGGCUCAACUCUGGACAGGCGGUGGAAACUACCAAGCUGGAGUACGGUAGGGGCAGAGGGAAUUUCCGGUUGGAGCGGGUGAAAUGCGCAGAUAUCAGGAGGAACACCCGUAGCGAAGGCGGCACUCUGGGCCGAUUCUGACACUGAGGAAGCGAAAGCGUGGGGAGCAAACAGG
rnacentral:rRNA from 1 species